UUUUUUUUUUUUUUUUUUUGAAAGCAUCAAUAGCUUUUAUAUUAUGUAAAUAAGCAAACACGUUAUUAUGCCACUUUUUGUUUUAAUCACUUGUUUAAAUAAGGAUUAUGUGGUGGUAUAAUUAUUUGCUAAACGGUUGCGUACAGAUUGCCUUCUACUUUCUAUUAUCCUCUGAUAACGAUGAGUUUACACAAUACUAUUUAUGAUACAUAGAACUUAUAGAUAUAUAGAUAUAUUAUUAAGUAGGUAUGCAUCAAAAAGUUCAGAAUGGUGUGCGUAUUGAUUUCAUUAAUUUGUCCCUUUGCACAAUCGGGUCAUCCGAUAAUUCAUGUGACAAUUGAGAUAUCAUAAUUUAACUGCUGCACUUAUAAAUGGGAUUAAUUAAAAUUUAUAUAUAUAUAUAUAUAUGUAUUUAUAUUUGUUAUCUGCAAUAUGGACUCUUUACACCUUUUUAUGCCAUAAUCACCGCUGCGUUAAGCUUGUGAUGAGCGAACAGAAUAAUCUAAUCACCAAGUGUAUUGUUAAUAGUUUAAUGCUGCUGUUCAUCAGACAAAAACUGACACCCUCGUAGAAAGAUGCUGACUUCUUCUUUCCAUUAUAACAUACGUGGACAAUUCGCAGAGAUUUUUAAGAGAGUUUUCAAAUAAUUUUAUACAAAUAUGCUCAUACUUUUCGUGAAGAGAGUAAAAAAUUUGUGGAGAGUUUCGAAGCUAACGAUUUAAGUUCUGUGACUUUAAACGAAAUUAUACCAAAAUAUGCACUCAACGCUAUCAGUGUGUUUUUAUAAACUGAUGUCCUUUUCUUGGAUCCACCGUGGUUAUAACGUUUUCGACAUAUAGGACACUAUUUACUGCAGCCGUUUGCAUAGUUUUGACUGUUCCUUGGUCUCUGGUAUGAGCCAGUGCAGUCAUGUUUCAUGGACGGUCUCAGAAUGACAAAGAAAUUCAUGCGAGUUGCGGUUAAACAGCAGCGAAGUAAGCAUAGGUGGCACUCAGCGCGCAGACAGUUUUUCAUGCCCAGAAUUGAAUGCGCGGACUUUCGAAUUGUCUACUAUCUCAGCUACCUCGUGCUUGUUCAAGCAUCUGUCUAUCAAUACGAGAUAGUGAGCGAAUGAACUAUGUUUUCGAGUUAUACUCCAGGAAUGGUCUAUAAUUUUCUGAAACACAAAAACAGUUAUAAUCAAAACCCUUAAAAUUACAAAAACCUUAGACAGUGAAUUUGGGGUUUGGCAUAUAACAAAAUUCUUUAUUCUUAUUUUGGCUAAGUACUUUCGAACCGCGACUUUACUGAGUGUUAUGUAUAUAUUUUGUGAAAUCCUUGACCUCGCUUUACAUAGAACACAUUGGGUGUCAAUUAGAUGAUCAAAUGAAUAUCGAUCAAUAUAUUUCCAGUUUCAAAAAAAUCAAAAAAGUAUUACUGAUGCGAUUUGCCAAUCCACUUUAUAUUUUGAAUCUCAUAUACAAAAUAUUUUUAGCGCACAAAAUUUAGAAACCCAUUUCAACUGUCUACAACUUCGCCAGCCAGACAAUUGACAAGCGUCGGCAAUUAUUCGCAGAAGAGCUAGCAUAAACAAUAUUAAAAAUAAAAUAAAUAACUUGUAUAUUACUGUACCUAUAUAUAUGGAUCACUAAAAAUAAUGACAAAUAUUCUUGAAUAGUUUGAAAUCAAGUAGUAGUGUGUAUUUCCAACUUCUUCUGUUGUAUCCAUUAGCUGUGGCAUCAUAGCUGUCACUCACGGGAUAAGUUCCGGUAAUGAUCAAAAUCUAUGAAAUUUCUACUUACGUUAAAAGAAGUUCAAAAUCGUCAGCUCUGGAAAUAUUAACGAUUUAUUUUGAGGUUAGAACUGAGUUUCCGAAAAGAGAAAAGUUAAAAAUGUUAACCUUAAAGACCAUAAAUAAUAUUAUUCCUCACUAUAAUCACUAUCUUAUAAUAAAUUAUUUAUUUUCAAACGUUGUUAUGUAAUUCAAUUUUAAAUCUUUGUGCAUUACAUUACGCUCAAGAAUGCAAAAAAUAUUUAUUUACAUAUUAAAUUUAAUUUUAUUAAUAUAUAAUAAUAUUAAUAUUAAAUACAUUAUUCAGAC